rnacentral:rRNA from 1 species
CCUACGGGCGGCAGCAGUCGAGAAUCAUUCACAAUGGGGGAAACCCUGAUGGUGCGACGCCGCGUGGGGGAAUGAAGGUCUUCGGAUUGUAAACCCCUGUCAUGGGGGAGCAAAUUAAAAAGAUAGUACCACAAGAGGAAGAGACGGCUAACUCUGUGCCAGCAGCCGCGGUAAUACAGAGGUCUCAAGCGUUGUUCGGAAUCACUGGGCGUAAAGCGUGCGUAGGCUGUUUCGUAAGUCGUGUGUGAAAGGCGCGGGCUCAACCCGCGGACGGCACAUGAUACUGCGAGACUAGAGUAAUGGAGGGGGAAGCGGAAUUCUCGGUGUAGCAGUGAAAUGCGUAGAUAUCGGGAGGAACACUCGUGGCGAAGGCGGGUUCCUGGACAUUAACUGAUGCUGAGGCACGAAGGCCAGGGGAGCGAACGGGAUUAGAUACCCGGGUAGUC